GACGAACGCUGGCGGCGUGCUUAACACAUGCAAGUCGAACGAAGUGGCGAACGGGUGAGUAACGCGUAAUCAACCUGCCCUUCAGAGGGGGACAACAGUUGGAAACGACUGCUAAUACCGCAUACUGAAGGAGGGGAUUGCGUCUGGUUAGCUAGUUGGGGGGGGAACGGCCCACCAAGGCGAUGAUCGGUAGGCGGGUCGGGAGGGGUGACCGGCCAAAUGGGACUGGUGCACGGGCCAGGAUCCCACCGGUGGCAGCAAGGGGGGAUCUUCCGGAAUGGGCGGAAGGCUUGCGGAGCAAAGCCGGCUUGAGUAUAACGGCCUUCCGGUUGUAAAGCUCCUUUAAUCGGGGAGCGGUACCGAAAUAGAAAGCCACGGCUAACUACGUGCCAGCAGCCGCGGUAAUAC
rnacentral:rRNA from 1 species